rnacentral:rRNA from 1 species
AGUGAACGCUGGCGGUAGGCCUAACACAUGCAAGUCGAACGGCAGCACAGGAGAGCUUGCUCUCUGGGUGGCGAGUGGCGGACGGGUGAGGAAUACAUCGGAAUCUACUCUGUCGGGGGGGAUAACGUAGGGAAACUUACGCUAAUACCGCAUACGACCUACGGGUGAAAGCAGGGGAUCUUCGGACCUUGCGCGAUUGCAUGAGCCGAUGUCGGAUUAGCUAGGUGGCGGGGUAAAGGCCCACCAAGGCGACGAUCCGUAGCUGGUCUGAGAGGAUGAUCAGCCACACUGGAACUGAGACACGGUCCAGACUCCUACGGGAGGCAGCAGUGGGGAAUAUUGGACAAUGGGCGCAAGCCUGAUCCAGCCAUACCGCGUGGGUGAAGAAGGCCUUCGGGUUGUAAAGCCCUUUUGUUGGGAAAGAAAUCCAGCUGGCUAAUACCCGGUUGGGAUGACGGUACCCAAAGAAUAAGCACCGGCUAACUUCGUGCCAGCCGCCGCCGUAA